CGGGGUUUCCGCUUGGCCUGCUUGCCUAUCAGACCCGCUCUCGCCGGGCGGUUCUCGCCCCCUUCCCUGGCGAUCCCUGAGUUUACCAGGUGAGAUUCUACAAGGAAACUGAAGGAGAAAAGGAGGCCAGCAACAAAAGGUGGAGCACAGAGGAGCACCAAAAAGAAGAGCACAGAAGACAGCUCUAAAGAGACAGAAAUGUGAAAGCAAAGUGCCUCAACCAGAAGUUACAGGAAGUUUGUCAAGAUAACCACUUGAACUACAUCUCAAGUCUACAGGACUGACACAGCACUGAAGUGUGUGCACUUGGAGGC